GACGAACGCUGGCGGCGUGCUUAACACAUGCAAGUCGAGCGAUGAAUUUUCUUCGGAAAUGGAUUAGCGGCGAACGGGUGAGGAACACGUGAAGAAUCUGCCCUCCACUCUGGGAUAACACAGGGAAACCUGUGCGAAUACCGAAUAUUUAAACAUUAGUGGCAUCACUGAGUUUUGAAAGAAUUUCGGUGGAGGAUGACUUCGCGGCCUAUCAGCUAGUUGGAGAGGUAAUGGCUCACCAAGGCAACGACGGGUAGCCGGCCUGAGAGGGCGACCGGCCACACUGGGACUGAGACACGGCCCAGACUCCUACGGGAGGCAGCAGUGGGGAAUAUUGGGCAAUGGAGGAAACUCUGACCCAGCGACGCCGCGUGCGGGAUGAAGGCCUUCGGGUUGUAAACCGCUUUCAGUAGGGAAGAAGCGAAAGUGACGGUACCUACAAAAGAAGCACCGGCUAACUAUGUGCCAGCAGCCGCGGUAA
rnacentral:rRNA from 1 species